CGUUGUCCUCAGGGCGGGGUGAAAGUCCCCACCGGCGGUAUCCCGGGCAACCGGGGAGCCCGCGAGCGCUCCCGGCCGUCAUUGGCCGGGGGGUCAGCAGACCUGGUGCGAAGCCAGGGCCGACGGUUACAGUCCGGAUGGAAGAGGAGGAGA
rfam:Desulfovibrio sp. DV contig00081, whole genome shotgun sequence.